AACGAACGCUGGCGGCAUGCCUAACACAUGCAAGUCGAACGAGACCUUCGGGUCUAGUGGCGCACGGGUGCGUAACGCGUGGGAAUCUGCCCUCUGGUACGGAAUAACUCAGGGAAACUUGAGCUAAUACCGUAUAAUGACUUCGGUCCAAAGAUUUAUCGCCUGAGGAUGAGCCCGCGUCGGAUUAGCUAGUUGGUGAGGUAAAAGCUCACCUAGGCGACGAUCCGUAGCUGGUCUGAGAGGAUGAUCAGCCACACUGGGACUGAGACACGGCCCAGACUCCUACGGGAGGCAGCAGUGGGGAAUAUUGGACAAUGGGCGAAAGCCUGAUCCAGCAAUGCCGCGUGAGUGAUGAAGGCCUUAGGGUUGUAAAGCUCUUUUACCCGGGAUGAUAAUGACAGUACCGGGAGAAUAAGCCCCGGCUAACUCCGUGCCAGCCGCCGCCGUAACAC
rnacentral:rRNA from 1 species